CCCACGGGCAGGUGAAUGUCA
rnacentral:miRNA from 14 species